AUGGUUUUUGGAGAUUUUAAUGAAAUCUUAUUUGCUCAUGAGAAGGAGGGGGGCGGUCGGGAGCAGCGACUGAUGCAAGGGUUUAGAGAUGCUCUGGCCAAUUGUGAUCUUGAUGAUAUGGGGGCGUCAGGUGAUUGUUUUACUUGGAGCAGAGGUCGGAUCAAGGAGAGACUGGAUAGAGCGGUUUGUAAUUCGAGGUGGAAUAACCUCUUCCCGCAUGCAGGAGUACUGAACGGGGAGAUGACGAAGUCCGACCAUCGACCCAUAGUGGUGAAUACGGAAUAUUAUGCGGAACAUAGUAGACCGAGGGGAGCUAAAAGAAGGUUUGAAGCAAGAUGGCUCAAGGAGGAAACGGUGGAGGAGGUGGUUCGAACGGCAUGGCAACGGGCUGCCAUGCUAGGCAUUGGGCCUUUCAAGCCUAAAGUUGAUGCAGUACAUACAGAGCUGCACCGGUGGGAUCGGGAAGUGUUGAAGAGACCGCAGAAGAGGAUGGCGGCCCUAAAAGCGGAGCUGGAGGACGUGAGAAGGGGUCCGGCUACAGAUGCCGCCAUCGAUAGGCAGAAGGAGAUACUUCUUGUCAUUGAGAAUUUGCUGGAACAGGAGGAAAUCGAGUGGGUGUAG
rnacentral:rRNA from 1 species